CAAGUCCAAGGCACAUGGAAAAUUAUGAUUGGACAAUAAAAUUGAAUUCGAAAACAGCAUAAAACACGCUAGGCAUGAACCGAGCUUAGGUCACCCUUUCAUUCACCCUCCACUGUGGACCACCGCGCUAGAAAUCGCAUCUGGCAGCGGCGACCACCAGAAAUUGAAAUCAACCACACCACUGAAACUGUCUCGUUCCCUUCAUCUCAAAUACCAUGCUGAAAUAUAUUGAUUGUAACCAUAACUCCACAAUCGCGAAAAACCAAUCAUGAAUCCUAGAACCUUAAUCUUCAAUUAAACCCCGGAUAUGCAAAUUCAAAGCCCCCGGGGUUGGGGCUUUGAACCUCCUACAUCCUCUACAUGCUAGCUACAAGAGACUAAACAAAAAGGGAGAAAUUGAAACUCACCAUGCCAGAAUCUUUGAAGGUGAUGAUGAACACAAACAAAUUCCUCUCUCCAAGUAAGAAUUUUGACUUUUUCCUCUCUAUCUUACUCUUCCUGAUUCCUCUUCUACUUCUUCUUUUCUUUGAUUUAUUUUUCCGGUUGAGUGAUUGUUCUGGAAAUUCGAAUGAUGGAAUUGAGUGGUUGUGAGGUUGAUUCCGAUGAAAAUGAUUGGGAUGAUUGAAUGUGAUUGAAGCUGAGAAUGAAGGUUCUAUUCAGUUGAGGUAUUGAUGAAUGUGGACCUUGUGAGAGAGUGAUGAAGAGUGUUGAAAAAAGGUUGGAAAUUGGUUCGAGAGUCAGGGUGAAUGACUGGGUUUAGAAUGGAAAAAAAUUCGAGAGAGUUUCAGUGAUCAAGAAUCCAUAGCCCCCAAUGAUUGGAGUUGAAGAGUAUUUAUUGGUAGUUUGAUGCAUAGAGAUUGUUAAUUUCGGUUAGAGUCUCAGUUAGAGGUUUCUGAACUUUGUGACAUUCUAAUAUAAAUUCAAUUAUAUUUGUCAACCCCUAGGUUUAGUCCGUUAGGUAGUUCUGUUGGUUAUGUUUAGUCAUGUGAAUGGUUUAGUAGUUUGUGGAUUUGUUUUUGUGAAUUCAGCUAUGCAUUGUUAUUUGUAGUUUUGUUUUGCUUUGGCUCUUGAUUGCUGAAUGGUCAAGUUCAAUUCUAAUUUUUGCUAUGAUGUGUUGGUUGUGACUAAGUAGGCUCUGGUUUGAUAAGUUUAUGUUGUUGUUAUGUUAUGGAUAUUUUGCAGAUACGAUUGCUUGGCCUGCUUUUAGAGUUCUUUUUGUGGCUUUGCUUAAGUUGAACUUAUAUUGUGGUGAGGUUUAAUUCUGAUUUUGCUGGUUUUGUGUGAGUUGAACUUUGUGAAUGUAUUGUUUUGUAGGGUUUGUAUGGUUCAGUUUGUGCAUGUUGUGAAAAAUUGUGUGGUAUGCAUUGAUAUGUUAUGCUACUAACUGGCUGAAUAUGAAUGAAAGCUUGCAACCUUGUUGUACCAUGACAGUAUUAUGAGUUGGUUUGUCAUGCUUCUGGAGGUUUGUUCAUUGCCUCAAUUCUGUUAUGGCAGCUUGGUUCAUUGCUUUGGCUUGUGGUUUGUGUUCUGCAGUAGGCAUUCUGCAAGAUGGUUGCAACAGGUAAUGUAUGCCAUGAAGGAUGGUGAUUCAACAUGACAUCAAGAUUAGAAUUAGAAGCAUCCAUGUAUAAAUGGAAAAUCAAAGAUCAAGAUGGAUUUUGAAGAUUAAGAUUAGGAUUAGAAUAGGGAUUUUGGGGAUUGGAUUAACUUUGGUCAAAGUUGACCAAAAAGUCAAUUGUUGACCAAAAAGUCAAUUGUUGACCAAAGUCAAUAUUUGGUCAAAGUUCCCAAAUUUUUGUAAUUUUUCAUGUGAUAAACACUAUAUGAUCAUGCAAUGAAUGGAAUUUGCUUAUUUUGAAUAGAAUUGAAUUGGAUAUUGAAUUGAAUCUUGUACAUGAACAUCGAAUCUUGAAAUGAAUGAAUUUGUUAUGAACUAAA